AGACUGUCUCAAAAAAAAAAAAAAGCAAAAGGCAUCUAAAGAAUUAGCCUUUUUAUUCUUUUGUAUAGUCACCUUCCUGCCAUGCUUAACAGCACCUCAGUUGGCACUCUAGUUUUUAAUCUUACUUCCUGGCUCUGAAUAUGCAGUCUGAGAUGUUAGCAGUCCACAUGUAACUUGCCUUCAGCUGAAGUUCUCAGUGGUCCAAUGCUGGAGUUUAUUCAAAUAGAAAACCCCAGAAAUUUAGAUCGGUAGGUCACUAGUACAUAUUAUCAUGUGGGUACCUACCUUCUCAUAAGAGUAGAAUGAGGCAGUUUGGAUGCAGUAUAGCUAUAACGAGCUCUCUAUUAUUCUGUGUAUUCUGGCCUCUAACUAGAAAGGAAAGCUAAAUCAGAAGCCUACAUUUAACUGUGUGAACAUGGAGGGAUUUAGUGUUCUGAUGGAUGAUUAACAGAACAGCUAGAUGCUUAGAGCAUGACGUAGGAGGAGUUUGGUUUACAGCUGCUGCCUUUUCAUAGUGGGCUUAACAGUUUUUCAUUAGAUGUGUUUUUCAGGUUGGGGAAUAGCAAUUUAUUUUCUUGGUUUUAGACUUUGUCAAGCUAAUUAGCUCCCCUUUAGACAAGUACAUUUUGCACAUGUGCACCAACUUGUACUCUCAGAUACUUAUGCACAGAAGUGUGAAGGUUUUCCAGGGAGCAGAGGAUCUGGGACAGGCUCAUUCUGAGCUAACCAGGGCUCCUUUAAGGUACGUGGCUGAUGAUAGAAAUGAGGACUAGGAGGACAGGGGACUCCAACAAAGCAAACCCUGUUGCAGGAAUGAGGAAGUUCCAUGCUUCAGAUGAAAUUCAAGACCACUGCAGAACGUGGUGUGUCACUGCCAUCCUGAGUGAUCACUUGCUGCUCCUACUUUUGAGACCGAGACUCUGCUGUCAUAUUCUUUAGCAAUAGGAAGGGUGAAGACUGGAUUUGAUUGCUGUUCAGAUGAUAAAAACUCAGUUGAUGCCAACACAUUUGAAUGUGCAGUAUAGUCUUAAAAGUCAACCAUUAAUCAUUAAAUCUUUUGCCUCUUAUGAGGUUUAUUACAUGAGUUGAUUUUGAUCUGUUCACCGUGGUGUGGAGUUUUUCUGUUGUUGUGCAAGGUGGGGUCACAGGGCAUGGGACUGGUGAGCAUUUUACUGUUUACUGUAUUUGUCUUUUUAUAAAAAGUAUCCCCCAAAAUGUGAUUAGAAGGCUAGCAAGCCUGGAGAUUUAAUUAUGUACUUUAUAUAAUCUAACUACUUAUUGUAUUUGGACUGCUUGUUUAUUCCUGGAGAGGAAAAUGAAAAUCUGUCCAUUCAGAUUCUUGGGUAACAUCAAGUCAUUGGAAUUUAUCUAAAGCUUAUCAUGAUUUGAUAAAACAUCCAUUGCAUGUAGCUGUCUUAGCCCAGUGUAAAGCACUGAAAUUGUGAUUCUUAAUUAGACUGUUAGUUUCUGAGACAUUUGGAUGGAAAUAAAUGUAUGAAUGUUAAUUCAUGUAUGUAAAUUAGAAAUACUUUUCUAGAUUCUGUGGGCUUUUAUUAAAAAGACUUUCAUGGGAUUUACUUAGGCUAAAGAAUGGCCAAAUAUUAAUAAUAACAAUAAUAGUACUACUAAUAAUAGCUAACUUUAUUGGGCACUUAAUGUGUACCAGGCACUAUUCUAUUUUUUUAAGGAUUUUUAUAACAGCUUUAUGAGAUACACUUUAUCAUGAAAUUCACCUUUUAAAGUGUACCAUUCAGUGGUUUUUAGUAUAUUCACGAAGUUGCACAACCAUCACCACUAUCUAAUUUUAGAACAUUUUCAUUACUUCACAAAGAAACCCGGUAGCCAUUGGCAGUCACUCCUAUUACCUUUUCACCCCAGCCCCUGGCAACCACCAAUCUGCUUCCCGUCUCUACUGGCUUUCCAGGCACUUUUCUUCAGUGCUUUCUGUGCACCUCCCCUAAUCCUCUGUAUACAGUACUACAAUUCACAUUUCACAAAUAGAAAGUUGCAGCACAGAAAGGUUAAGUAAACUGCCCAGGGUCAUACAGUAAAUUGAUUUACAAUAACACAUUAGAUGAGUGCAUAGUAGGACACGAUUUUGAAUUGCAUUAUUGUGCAUUAUUAUUAUGUACAUGAAAUGAGCAUACCCCUUCCCCAGGGUGUGUUUCCUGUUAUUAGUCUUUGCACCCUAGAACUGACUGGAUGUCAGCAACGUUUUUUUUCUGAGCAAUGGAACACCAUAUCAUCAGCAUCUGAGAACACAAGAGCAGUUGUACAUUGGAAGGAGUUAAGUUUGUUGCCCUCCUUGAGCCCCUUUUCUCUCUCUUCCCUUUCCAUCACCACCACCACACACAUACCCCUUUUUUCUCAAAGUCUUAAGAAUCAAACAACUUCUGCCUCCUUUUUAAUUCUCCCAGAGGGAUGGUUAAUGCAUUGAAGUGGAACUUGUCUGUUCAGGUGUUUCUAGUCAAGGGAUGCAUGUGGUUGCUUAUGCUACCAGUUAUAUUCCUAGGCUCUCCAAGAGCAGUAGUACAAGAAUAGAAUGCCUUUCUAUUUGGCGUUAAACUAGGUGGGAGGAAGAAAUGACAGAGUAAAGGUUUUGCCUUGUGAAGUCAGUGUUCCUGCCUAGUAGGAAGUGGCCACACGCUGCUCUCGUUCACUCUGUUCUUUCAGAGCCAUUGUACUCUGUGUCAUCGCUGCUGGUAAUUUCUUGGUCCUUUUCAAGACUCCAUUUUAAUCCUGAUCUUUCCUAUAAAUAAUAAACCUGUGAAAAGAAGAAAUCUGUAAAAUGAUUUGUGAAUGUUAAAUGUGCAAAUAAAAACACUGGAAGAGGAA